AAUCAGAUAAUUUAACUGAAGUACUCAGUACCUGCUGAUAUGGAAGGUAUCCUUAAAGCUACAAGUGCUAUGCUUCAGUCAAGACAGGGCAGAAGUGAAAUUCAGGCCUAAAUAAGGCAUGGCUGCCAAACUGUGAGGAGAAUGUAUC